UUCUUUUUAAAAAUUUUUGUUAUUUUUACUUUUCUAAUUUAAAAUACUAUUUUUUUUGUGAGUGAAAUAAUAAAAAAAAAUUAAUUUUCUCUGAAUUUAAAUAAAUAAUGAUUAUAGCCAAAGAGUAUAAUGAAAGUUGUAAAUUUUACAAGAUUUUUCCCUGACAUAAUGUAAUUUCGAACAUGAAGCUAAGCCGUUUAUUAAUUUGCAAUUGGUUAAUGGUCGUGCGGAAUAUUGGACAUGGAGGCUGGAUGGUACAUGAUAAAUCAAUAUCAAUGGCAAAUUUAUCAUUAAAAAUAUUGUAAAAAGGGAGAGAAAAAAAAAGAAAAUAAUAUGGAAACGGAGUUAAAGAGGGACAAAUUCUACGUAUCUCUCGUAUAUAACCUAAUUCAAUUCCUUCAUGUUUUUUUUUUUUUAGUUUUAUUAUUUAAUUGGUUAAUCUUAAAAUUUAUUAACAGUUCAUACUAUUCAUUAGUUUAACGUUUUCAAUUCAUUUACAUAGUUCAUUUUAGCAGGUUCGGUUUAUUAUACAGUUACGCGGUUCUCGCUAUUUACAUGCAUACUUAUACAUACACAUAUUCAAUUUAAUGUUUCACAAACACACAUGUAUACGUACGUACAUACAAAUACAUACAUUCUGUGAUUUAUGAUCUUUGUGUAAAUGUUCUAUGUUCCGUUUCGCCUGAGAGUUGCUGAUUGAAUGACUGAUUGCGUGUCUGUUUGUCUGUCUGUGAGGGCUUCUAUACAUAUAUAUUAAUGUCCUAGAGUGCUCACCUCCUUUUUAAAUUGACCGUUUUAAUUUUAUUUUAAAAAGUUUUGCGUAAAAUUUUUUUAAAAUUAUUUUUAUUUUUUUAUUUUUUAUCCAAAAAUCUCAUUUUUCUAUUAUAGAUUGGAAAUUCGAUUUUUGUUUUAUUUUCUAUUUAAAAUUUGUAUUAAUUUCAUUUUUUAAAUUUCAUUUUUAAAAUUUUAUUUUUGAAUGUUUAAAAUUUUGUUUUAGAAAAUUUCUUUUAUAAACUUAUAUUUUGUAUUUCAAUGGCGGAUUAUUUAAUUUAGAAAUUAAAUUUGAAAAUUAACAUUUCUGAAUAUUUUUAAAUAGUUUUAUUAACAGAAAUAAUAAUUCGUUUCUUUGUUAUCUCGAAAAAAUUUUUAAGACAAAAGUGAACACUCAUUCUCUCGUUCUGCAAAUUAGAUAUAAAAAAAAAUAAAAUAAAGAAAACAAAAACAACUCAUUUACGACUUUGACCAUAAUGUGAUUUAUUUCGUGUAUUAAAAGUCAAGAUAUAUAUAUAUUUUUUUUGGAGGAGAAAAUGAUAUAUAAAAUCCGAGGCACGUCUUUUAUUUUCUUUUUUUUCGGUUCACAUUCUUUUCUGUCUCUCCAUAAUUCUUUUCUCUCUACAAGGACCAAUUGUUUGGGAGCAAAGAUUGCCUAUUACGCGAAGGUAUUACAGAAAACAUCGUUUUAGUUUUUUUUAUUGAUCGUUUGAAAGCCAUUGAUCCGUAAUAAAACCGGAAAUGAAGACGAGUCGAAUUUAGAUGAAAGUUCGCGGCCUAGAAACGAAUCCCAUCGACACCGCUUUUUAGAGUACCCAUUAAUCUUUUAACAACACAAAAAAAAAAAAAAAAAAAAAAUGCCAAUCACUAGAAAUUUCACCAAACUAAUUGGAAUUGGAAUUUUUUAUACUCUUGAAAUUGUAUUUGUGUCUUUGUUUUCUAUUCAAAUAAAAAAAUUUCUGCAAAUGUAACAUUGAAUCUAAAAAAUUUAAUAAAUCAUCUAAAACUGAUUUACAAAAAUAAUUAACAGUUGUAGAUUUAAAAGAAAUAAAAAAUUUUUUUUUUUUAAAUAUUGUGUUUGUGUUUAGCGAUAUUAAGUAAAUAUUGAUAUUUAUUUUCAGUACAUAUUGACUUGGGUGCAUUAGGUAAAAGUCGUAAAUGAGUCGGGUUGUUUGAUAACGUCGGCAAAUCGAUUAUUAUCACAGAAAUUAUUUACAUUUUUUUUUUUCACUCUUUAUUUUGCAAAAGUUAUUUUUCAUCAGAAUUAUUUAUGAGGACAAACGAGAAUCGGGUCGUCGCGCGUAUAUCUCGAUUUGAGUCUUUUGUUGGCAUAAAUUUUUUUUUUUUUAUUUUUUUAUUAUUUUUCAUGAAAAAUCUAGCCGACCUAUAGAUAGUAGAGAAAUAGAUGUACAGAGAGAGAGUGUGAUGCUGAUUCUUGGUCCAAUCAGUAUAAUGCAAGAACUCAGCGAAAAAUUACCCUGGUUUUUGGCAUAUACAUAUUUAUAUAUACAUAUAUAGCAAAUAACGUGAAAUAUAUUGUGAAAUUGCUUAUUUCUCUAUAUAAUAGAAAAAAAAAAAUUCCUGAUUGGUCGAUCUUAAAAUUUUUGCCUUAUACUGAUUGGAUAGACUAGCAGAAGGACGUGCCAAAGUCAAUAAUUUCACGUUCUGCUGCAUAAUCUUUCUUUUAGGGGGGGAUUCGCGAGAAAAAAAAUAAUCAAAUUGAAAAUUUUCUAUAUUGAUUGUCUCGUACAAAAAAUUCAUUACGGAGAUUUUUUCUUUUUUUUUAAGGGGCUAUUUGGCAAUUAACAAAUAUUAAAUUAUUUACCACUGUAAAAAAAGGAUUUAAUCAUUACUAGAGAAUUAGUAAUAAAAAAACACGACUUUUUAAAGUAAAUUUAAAACUCUUUCCAGUGUCCAAAUUAAAAACUUUCUUUAGAAAAAGAGUAAAAAUUUUUCUUUAGUAAAUUUUUUUUUUAAAAGUUUUGUUAUAGAAAACAAAGUUGCCAUUGUUAUAAUGAAUUUUUUCGAUAAAAAUGAGUAUUUUUUUGUAGUAAAAAAAAAAUUGAAAAACUAGUACAGCAAAUCGAGGAUUAUUUGAGUUUUUGAAAAAUUUAAAAAAAAAAGUGGUAAGAUUAGCAGAUACAUCAAAAUUGGUAAUUAUUGACCCAGGGGGGGGAGGGUAAAAGAGUACGACGGCAGAUUCUAUUGCUUGUCCUUUUUUUUAUUUACAGAAUCUUUUAUACCGUUUUACAUAACGCUCACACCGGUUUUUUUUUAAAAUUUUUAAAUAAUAUUUUAUUACUAUUUUAUUAUAUUACUAUUAUUAUUUUAUUAUUAGUAUUUAUUAUUAAACGCUCGAUCGAGAGGCAUUUAGGUUUGGAUUUUUACACGUAAAAACUCUUUUUUUUUUUUUUUUUAAUGCUACCGAAGUCGGUUAUUUACGAAUAUGUAUAACGUGGGUUUUUUUUUAUUUUUUUUUAUUUUUAUAUAUUAUCAACAUUCAUUACACGCAUUUUCACUUCUUUUUUUUUAAUAUAAAAUCCUUUUAUCUAUAUUAUUAUUGAUAAAGUAUAUUUUUUUUUUUGUUUUUACUCGAUUCGAUUUAACUAGCAUAUUAAUCCUUUUUUUAUGUUUUUUUCUUUUCGAUUCUAAUAUAUUUAUAUAUAUUAUAUAUAUAGGUAUAUUUGAGCCUUAAUUGUCGAUCGUCCGACGAGAGUGUCCUGCCUGCAGAUUUAACGCUUGUCAUCACGAGGCAGAUGAUCGGUAUAAUAAUUUUUAUCGUUUACUAUAACGAAUUUUCCCUAAUACAGUAAAUUUAUAUUAUUUACUCGUCGUCAAUUUUUUUUUUCCUCUCUAUUCAAAUUUUUUUUUUUUUUAAUUAUCUAUCGUUGUUACACACAACAUCAAAUUAAACAAAAAAUCUAUAUUUACUUUUUUUUUUUUUUUUUAAUAGAAAGGGAAUAUUUCCCUAUAAUUAUAGUUUGAAAAAAUGAAAGUCCUCUAAUCAGUUUCCUAAUUAGAUUGCCGUAUAAUUGAGUUUUAAAACGUAUUCCUAUGGAUACUGACUAGAUAGUGAUAGUUUAUUAAUUAUAUGCGGUUUAUAAUUGUUAGAUUUAUGAACUUGGAUCGCGUUCUCACAUAUAUCGGCAUUUUUAAUUAAUUUUUUUUUUUAUAUAAUCAAUUCGCCUAGAAAGAAUCGCCUCUCGUUUGGAAUCUUGUGUUUUUUUUUAUCGUCGAUAUUCUGCUUUUUUUUUUUUUAUUGUGAAAAAAAUAACCCUCGAAUUAUUGAUAAAAUUUAAUUCCACGCCGACAUAAUAUAUAUUUAUAUAUUUAUGAAACUUUUAAGACCAGCUUAAAAAAUUUUCAUUUGAGUUUAAUUGCUAGUUUUAUUAUUACACAGUAUUGUCGUGAGGAAAUAAUUUUGCAAUAUAAAGAAUAAAGUAUUUUCCUACAAACGCAGGGAUAUUUUUUUUUUUUUUUUUUUUUGGUUCAAGAGGGUACUUUGUUAAAUUUUAAAAAGCAAAAACCCCUUCAGGCGUUUUUUUUUUCCUUUUUUUUUUUUGCUUUCUCAAUUUGCAAUUAUGAGAUUUCAUAUCGAUGUUCGCAGUCUCGUCUGAUUUUCAUUUUACUUUGACAAACAGAAAGAACUCAUUUUUUUUCUUGCUUGAUAAAUGAGCUUUGCGAAAGUAUAUAUAUCUCGCGUCUAGGUGGAACAAAAAGAAAUACUCAAUUUCUGUCGAAUUAUUUGACUUUUAGAUAAAAAAAAAAAAAAAGAAAAAAAGAAAAAGUAGAAUGUGAUUUUGAAAUUGAAACUGUAAUAUUUAGUUUAAAGGAAUUUAAAUAUAUUUCGAUUACGGGCUGUAUGAUUAUAUCAUAAAAAAUUAUUAAUUAGAAUUUUUAUUUUUAUAGAAUUUUAUUAGAAAUUUUUUUUUUUUUUUGAUGAAUUUUCGAAUUUAGCAUUUAAUGGAAUUUCUUUUUAUACGAAUUUUUAUAAAAUUCUCAUUUGUCCGAAUUUUUAUUUGUACAAAUUUAUAAAUUUUUUAAGAUCCCGAAUUUUAAUUUGUCCGAAAUUACAAAUGACGAUACUAACAAUCGACAGAAAGAUAUGGGCGCAAUUUUUAAAAUUGACGAAUUAGAAAUUAUUAAAAACAUCUUGAUUGAUCAAUUUUAAAAAUUAUGCCGAAUUCUUUUUGUCGAUUGUUUGUUCUGCCAUUUAUAUACUUUUGGACAAAUGAAAAUUCGGCAUCUUAAAAAUUGUAGCAUAAUUAAAAAUUCGGACAAACUAAAUUCAUUAUAUUAGAAUUUCUGUCAUUUAAAAAUUCAAAUCAAAUUCUAUUAAAUUAAAAUUCUUUUAAUCAUAUUUUUAAAAAACGAUUGAUGAUUGAUUUUAAUUCCAUAGAAAAUUGUGAUUUUUUUUUUUUUUGAAUCGAACAUGAAAUUAAAUAUUUUUCUUGUUUUUCUUUUUUCACAAUUUAACAUUUGUUUAAACAAUUAUUUGUACUUCGUUUCCGAGUAUUUUUGUUUGAAUGCGGUGAAAAUGUGGUUUUUGUGAGUAAAAGUGAAGAAGCAAAACUGUUGAAAAUAGAAGAUAUGUCAGGAAAGUUGAUGUUUGCAAGAAGCACUUAGAACUUGGCGAAUUUCGUCUCUGCUCGACAUGGUAAGCAAUUUCUCCAUCUCGGAUGUAAUAUUCCGCAGUACGCUUAGUUUGACUUUGGACACCGAAAACUGGAAAGCAUCGACAUAGUUUCCGACAGCGGUUGGUUUGGGUCUCUCUCUCUCUCUCUCUCUCUCUCUCUCUCUCUCUUGCUCUCUCGCUCACUCUCCCAAGUUUGUUGGCUUAAAAUAAGUUUAUAAUGGUCAUGUGAUCUCUGAAUUCGUAUACCGCACGUUGCAAGUUAGGGACAUAUAAGGGCGUGCCAAAAAGGGUGUGGGGAAUUUCCUACUAGAGAGAGAGAGAGAGAGAGAGAGAGACAGAGAAGUUGGAAAUUUGACACGUUUGCAUCACAUGGACGGGAGAACUUUGCAUAUUGCACUAUAUGCCAAAAUGGCUGAUACAAAGGACCAUCCCUUUUAGAUCCUUGCAUAUAUAUAUAUAUAGGAUUUAUGAUAGCCUUGUGGUCAUUUUCAUUCUCCUCUGUUAGCUCAACUUGUUUAUAUCUUUUUUUAUGUCACGGAAAUUAGGUUUUUGUAACAAUUUUUUUCUGCCGAAAUUCUUGUAAUUGGAUCUUGCAAAUCAAAUUUUAAUUUUUAAAUUAAUUACUUUUUUUUAUUAUUUUGAUCAUCUUAAUUAUUAUUAAAUUAAUUACUUUUUUUCAUCAUUUUAAUUAUUAAAUUAAUAUAUUGUGUUUUUAGGUAAUGCAGUCAGAAAAAGGUUCUAAAUUCUACAAAAAAUGUUGAAAUCAGUAGUAAAAUAUCGUUUUAGUCAGACUUUACAUUAUUCUGAAUUUGGUGUCAGUAGUGAUAGUGUCAUUUAUAGUCAAGACAAAAUAUUUGAAAGUAUUAUUUUAAUCUGGUAGAUAGGUUACGAUUUUUAUAACUCUCUAAGUAGUAAAAUACCAUUUUAGUCAGACAAAUUAUUUUAAAUUUAUACUAUUUAAAAUCAGUAUAGUAAUGAUUGUUUUAGUCAGACUGGUUUUGUUUUCUAUUAGUAAUAAAAGAAAGUUUCAGUAAGGCUCUUCAAUUUUUGUGUUUGGUAUUAGUUGAAAAACACAGUUUCUGUAAGUAGUAAAAUACAGUUUUAGUCAGACAUGUUUAUUUCAUAUCCUUGCUAUUUAAAAUCAGUAGUUAAGGUGGUUUUUGUCAGACUAAAUAAAUUGUUUUGGUUUUCUAUUAGUAGUAAAAGAAAGUUUCAGUCAGACAAUUUUUAAAUAUAUUUUUGUUCUUAGUAGAAAAAGUACUUUAAAGUGUCAUUUUAAGCGUAUCUUUUUUUUUUGACAGAAAUGAAUCAAUUUUUCCAAUUAUUAUAAAUUUUUUUUUUUUUAAUAUUUAUAUAAGCUUGGUCUGUAAUUCGGGAUAUAUAAGUUGAGGUUGGAGAGUUGAUUUAAAAUUCAUCUGGCUUUGUUCCCACAUGUGACAGACAUUUGAAAUCGACAGCACACGUUUGUGUCGAUUGUGUCACACUUUCAAAUUCUGGUCCCCAAUACACAGAGAAAAGAGAGAGGGAGAGAGAGAGAGAGAGAGCUGAACAUUUGAGUUUGAUACUCUAUCAUGUACAUAUGCAUGUUUUGUUUGUAGACGAACUCGAAACACAUCCGAGUCGGACAGAGUAAACAGUCAAGUUGAUUGGGAAUCGACAUAGACUGCUUGUUCCCAUUUGGAUCUAAUACUUAAAGGGAUAUGUGAAUAAAAUUUUUUUUUCGUCAACGAAACUCUCCUUCCUUUCCAUUCUAUCUCUAUGAGGAAAUAGUUUUUUUUCUUCUAUUUUUCAGUACUUUUUCCAUUGUCCGAACUGUAACGAGCUUUGUUAAUUUUAAUUCCAUUCUCUAUUAUAUUUCAUUUUUCAUAUCUCAGUUAUUUUUUUUUUUUAUCACAGCGAAACAAGUUUUAAUUUUGUAAUUUUUUGUUUUCUGUAAUAUUUAGUGUUUGAUUUAUUUAAAUAAUUAUUUUUUUUUUCAAUAAAGAAUCUUGAUAAUUAUUCUUGUUUAUAAAUUGAAGAAUACUAGUUCUUAAAAAGGAAGACAUUAAAAAUUCACUGAUGAAGAUUAUAUUUUUGAAAAGAAAUUAUUUUUAGAAGCGUCGAGAUAUAUAUAUUUGGUCCUAUCUAUUGACUCAGUGGACUUUGAAAACUUUGGAUUGGAAAAAGUUUAAGGUCACUGAGACUCGCGGGAAAAAGACUAAAUUGGGAGAAGGAAAGAAGUACAAAUGAUCUUUUUCACAGUUGACGAACUAUCGAUUUUCGUGACUUUAUAUAUACUUGUGCGCUCAACAAGCAAGAGUUCUUUCUUAUGUUUGAGUUUUCUGAUAGAAGAGAAUCAAGUAAUGUUUUUCAAUUAGACAAGAAAUUCGACUUUAAGAAAGGCAAAAGAAAAAAAAAGUUUUUUAGCUAAUCAAUAUUAUUGUAUUUUAAACAGAAAUAGAGAGAAUUCUUUAUUCUUGCGAGGGAAAUUAAAUAUCGAUGACACUUUUUUUUUUUUUUU